UCUAGUUUCGUCGCUUAAAUAUGGACGUUCUAGUGUCGGGUGGGCGUUCUAGUGACGCAUUCGAAAUACAUCUAGCGGCAAAGAAUCAUUCCCCAAGUUCUUAUGUCGCUAAAUCCGUUCUACUGUCGCAGAGAAAUUUAGAGGUUUUCCGUCCUAUUGUCGUUACUUAAAUGUGGACGUUCUAGUGUCGCAGCGGAAUUUAGAGGUUUUUCCGUUCUAAUGUCGUGGCUAAAAUGUGGACGUUCUAGUGUCGGAAGGACGUUCUAGUGUCGCGUUCUAGUGACGCAUUCGAUUAGUCCUUGUGGUUAUUAGUCCCAAUGUCGCUAUCCCGACUAAAAUACUAGUUUCAUCGCCAUCUAUGAUUCACAUUUAAAAACUACUGAUAUGGAACGAUAAGUCUUCGUUACUCAAGCCCGCCGCCAUUUUUUUCGAACACUGAAAGCAUGCUGAAAGCGUAUCAAUAUAUAAUCCGUACGGCGUAUUUUCCUUCCUGACAUUUUUCUUCAUAAAAAUGCUGAUCAUGUGGCCUGAGCAUCUGUACAUUUUGCCAAGAUGUCGUCUCUUUUUCCUGUACCGGCUGUACGUUUUGUAAGAAACACUUCAGAACAAAUCAGUCUGAUAAAGUCUGAGCUUCAUCGUUGCUGCCCAAUCUACACAUGGAUUUGAUGCAGCCAGCUGCCAGCUGGUAAAGGGUGUUCCUCUUGCUACCUGGACUGAUGUGUGCUUCUUCACGAAGAAACAUAUACAACUGAAGUUUAUCGUGUAUGUUCGCGUAGUUCCUGUCCGCUGUGGUACGUUGUUGCAGCCUAUGCUGGUUAUAGAUCUUUCUACAUCAAAUUCAAUUGGCCGUUUGGUGCUGGUGUCGUGUUACCGAAGUUGCAUUAUUAUUUUAUGAAAUUGGCAUUGUGUCAAUGUAGUAUACCGUUAAUAUGUUAAGAAGGAACAAAAAAGAAAUAUGGGGAUGUUUAUUUCAAACAAAUAAUAAACAUGUUUUCGGGAUUGGGAAAGGAAAGAGGAGGAUGUGGAAGGGGGAUAUUUCAAGUUUGGUUAAAAAACAGUUAAUUAAUAUAACCCUGCAAACAUAUCCCUACCAAUUAAUCUCCAAACCCCACAAACUUAUACCUUCUAAUUCUUCUGACCCCACAAACAUUACACCUACCAACCCUCAAAUGUAUACCCUAAACCACAUAAACCAAUGUCUAACCCUAUGUCUGUAAUAAAUAAACAAAUUUUAUACAUCAAACUAGUUUUUA
rnacentral:lncRNA from 1 species